CCUACGGGUGGCUGCAGUGAGGAAUAUUGGUCAAUGGGCGAGAGCCUGAACCAGCCAAGUCGCGUGAGGGAAGACGGUCCUAUGGAUUGUAAACCUCUUUUGUCGGGGAGCAAAAAGGCCUCGUGAGGCCACAAGUGAGAGUACCCGCAGAAAAAGCAUCGGCUACCUCCGUGCCAGCAGCCGCGGUAAUACGGAGGAUGCGAGCGUUAUCCGGAUUUAUUGGGUUUCAAGGGUGCGUAGGCGGACUGGAAAGUCAGCGGUAAAAUGGAGAGGCUCAACCUCUUUCCGCCGUUGAAACUGUCGGUCUUGAGUGGGCGAGAAAUAUCGGGAAGGCGUGGUGGAGCGGUGAAAUCCACAG
rnacentral:rRNA from 1 species